AACGAACGCUGGCGGCAUGCCUAACACAUGCAAGUCGAACGAAGCCUUCGGGCUUAGUGGCGCACGGGUGCGUAACGCGUGGGAAUCUGCCCUUGGGUUCGGAAUAACAGUUAGAAAUGACUGCUAAUACCGAAUGAUGUCUUCGGACCAAAGAUUUAUCGUCCAAGGAUGAGCCCGCGUCGGAUUAGCUAGUUGGUGAGGUAAAGGCUCACCAAGGCGACGAUCCGUAGCUGGUCUGAGAGGAUGAUCAGCCACACUGGGACUGAGACACGGCCCAGACUCCUACGGGAGGCAGCAGUGGGGAAUAUUGGACAAUGGGCGAAAGGCCUGAUCCAGCAAUGCCGCGUGAGUGAUGAAGGCCUUAGGGUUGUAAAGCUCUUUUACCCGGGAUGAUAAUGACAGUACCGGGAGAAUAAGCCCCGGCUAACUCCGUGCCAGCAGCCGCGGUAAU
rnacentral:rRNA from 1 species